rnacentral:rRNA from 1 species
UACGUAGGGACCAAGCGUUGUUCGGAUUUACUGGGCGUAAAGGGCGCGUAGGCGGCCUGACAGGUCACUUGUGAAAUCUCCGAGCUUAACUCGGAACUGCCAAGUGAAACCAACAGGCUAGAGUGCAGAAGGGGCAAUCGGAAUUCUUGGUGUAGCGGUGAAAUGCGUAGAUAUCAAGAGGAACACCUGAGGUGAAGACGGGUUGCUGGGCUGACACUGACGCUGAGGCGCGAAAGCUAGGGGAGCAAACGGG